rnacentral:rRNA from 1 species
GACGAACGCUGGCGGCGUGCUUAACACAUGCAAGUCGAACGGAAAGGCCUCUUUCGGGGGGUACUCGAGUGGCGAACGGGUGAGUAACACGUGAGUAACCUGCCCUUGACUUUGGGAUAACUUCAGGAAACUGGGGCUAAUACCGGAUAGGAGCUCCUGCUGCAUGGUGGGGGUUGGAAAGUUUCGGCGGUUGGGGAUGGACUCGCGGCUUAUCAGCUUGUUGGUGGGGUAGUGGCUUACCAAGGCUUUGACGGGUAGCCGGCCUGAGAGGGUGACCGGCCACAUUGGGACUGAGAUACGGCCCAGACUCCUACGGAGGCAGCAGUGGGGAAUAUUGCACAAUGGGUGGAAGCCUGAUGCAGCAACGCCGUGUGCGGGAUGACGGCCUCGGUUGGUAACCGACGUUCGUCUCACUGACGAAGACUUCGUGUGUACGGUAGUGGGU